rnacentral:rRNA from 1 species
CAGGGAAUCUUGCACAAUGGGCGAAAGCCUGAUGCAGCGACGCCGCGUGGGGGAUGAAGGCCUUAGGGUCGUAAACCCCUUUCAGCAGGGACGAAAAUGACGGUACCUGCAGAAGAAGCCCCGGCCAACUACGUGCCAGCAGCCGCGGUAAGACGUAGGGGGCGAGCGUUGUCCGGAUUUAUUGGGCGUAAAGAGCUCGUAGGCGGUUGCGUAAGUCGGAUGUGAAAACUCAGGGCUCAACCCUGAGACGCCAUCCGAUACUGCGCUGACUUGAAUCCAGUAGGGGAGUGUGGAAUUCCUGGUGUAGCGGUGAAAUGCGCAGAUAUCAGGAGGAACACCCAUGGCGAAGGCAGCACUCUGGGCUGGUAUUGACGCUGAGGAGCGAAAGCAUGGGUAGCGAACAGGAUUAGAUACCCCCGUAGUCCUGAGCGGGCUGGCAAGGCGCAU